rnacentral:rRNA from 1 species
AUGGCACUGGUCAAGAGCCACCACCAAAUGUUGGCCUCCUCCUCCACCUCCUCGUCCUCCCCCUCCUCCCAGCAGCAGCCGCCGCCGCCGCCGCCGCCGCUGGCGCCGCCUCCCCCGGCCACCGACCAGCCCUCCCCCGCCAAGCGCAAGAGGCGCCCUCCCGGCACGCCAGACCCUGAUGCGGAGGUGGUGGCGCUAACGCCGAGGACGCUGCUGGAGUCGGACCGGUACGUGUGCGAGAUCUGCGGGCAGGGGUUCCAGCGGGAGCAGAACCUCCAGAUGCACCGGCGGCGGCACAAGGUUCCCUGGCGGCUGGUGAAGCGGGCUCCGGCGCCGUCGGCGGGGGAGGACGGCGGCGCGGGCACGGCGGGAGGGGCCGGCGCGACGACGGUGCCGCGGAAGCGCGUGUUCGUGUGCCCCGAGCCGAGCUGCCUGCACCACGACCCGGCCCACGCGCUGGGCGACCUGGUGGGGAUCAAGAAGCACUUCCGGCGCAAGCACGGCGGGCGGCGGCAGUGGGUCUGCGCCCGCUGCGCCAAGGGCUACGCCGUCCAGUCCGACUACAAGGCCCACCUCAAGACCUGCGGCACCCGCGGCCACUCCUGCGACUGCGGCCGCGUCUUCUCCCGGGUGGAGAGCUUCAUCGAGCACCAGGACGCGUGCAACUCCGGCCGGAUGCGCGGCGAGGCGGGGGCCGUGCCGUCGGCGCUCCCGGUGCUCCGGCCUGUCGUUAUCAGGCAUCCGGCUCCGGGGGUGCCGUCGACGCCGCCGCCGGAGCUCCAGCUCCUCCCGGUAGCUACCAAGGCGCCGGUGAACGCCACGCCCGCCGUAUUCUCCGCCUCCCACGAGCCCCACGCGACGACGAAGCUGGAGCUCUCCAUCGGCCCAGUCGCGUCCUUGGACGGCGUGUCCGGCGCCGACGACGGGAGGGAAGAGAUGAUGCGUGCCAUGCAGGAGAAGGCCGCCGCGGACGCCGAGCGGGCGCGGGCGCGGGAAGAGGCCGCGGCGGCGGAGCGCGCGCUGGAGGAGGCGCGGCGCGCGCGGCAGCGGGCCCGGGGCGAGCUGGAGAAGGCGUGCGCGCUGCGUGACCAUGCCGCGCGGCUGCUGGCGCAUGUCACGUGCCACGCGUGCCGCCAGCGCUCGUUCGGCAUGGUGCCCAUGGGCGUCGCCGCCGGCGGUGACGGCGGCCACGGCGGCUCGGCGGUGGCCUGCGAGGCCCUGAGGAGAGGAGCAGGGUUAGGACUCUAG